UGUGGGUGGUGGUACUAUUGGCGUUUUUAAGUGAAUUUAUGGCAGGUUUUCAAGGCAGACAGGAAGAAGAUAUGGGUUUCUUAGGAGCUUGUUAGCUUGCUCCCAUGGCCUUAUUAUUCUCUAAAGGGAUGGGAAAUGCCAGCCAAUGAGGAGGAAAAGCCCUAAGGGGAGUAGGGUUCAAGUGUGGAAGGAUAGCAACAAGCAUAGGUUCCCAGAAUCCAAAGGAACCUCCGGCCGUCAGGAUUCUCUCUCGAUCUAUUACACUGUUGAUACCCCUGGUGUCUCGGUAGCUGGUUUUUAUUUUUUCCUUCUGUUUUUUGAUUUUUGUUUCUUUUAACUUUUGAAGGGAGAAAGUGAGGGAACACAACUAAAUAUGGGUCAUGUGCCAGUUUUCUGCAAUGGAAUUGGAUUUUGGAAGAAGGUCUGGCUUGUAAACGGACUUAGUUAGUAGGUCAUGGGUCACCUAUUCUGACUGGAGGUCAAUUGCAAGUCUUUCAAGUCAUGGGUCGCCCGACACCUCAUAAUUAUGAUAUGACUAAUUAAAUUUGCCCAAAUUCUUAUUCAAAAGCGUGGUAAAGCUUCUCAUUACUUGUAUAUCCUUAUAAAAAUUUCUAUUUGCACGCCUACCCAUUAAGGAUAUUUUAGUCAUUUUAAUUUAAAACCAUUAAUUUUUUAACGGUGUUAGAUGGUAUGGGUACAUAUGCAAAAAUAAGAAUAAAAAAGGGUAGAAUAGCAAAAUAAAUAUUUUACGAGGGUAUACAUGCAAAUAUCAAUUUUGGAAGGGUAUUCACGCAAAAUCCUAUAUUUAGAAGGAUAUCUAUGCAAAAAAAAAAACCCUUUAUUUUUUAUUCGAUUAUUUUCUUCUCACAUCCUUCUCACU
rnacentral:lncRNA from 1 species